rnacentral:tRNA from 1 species
GGCCUCGUAGCUAAGUUGGCUAGAGCGUUGGCUGUAUUAAACCCUACCCUUGCUGGCGCGGGUUCAAAUACCCCCCGAGGCCG